GUGCUCGCUUCGGCAGCACAUAUACUAAAUUUGGAACGAUACAGAGAAGAUUAGCAUGGCCCCUGCACUAGGAUGACACGCAGGAUGAUUUAGCCAUUGACCCAUCAU